rnacentral:rRNA from 1 species
GGUUAAGCGACUAAGCGUACACGGUGGAUGCCCUGGCAGUCAGAGGCGAUGAAGGACGUGCUAAUCUGCGAUAAGCGUCGGUAAGGUGAUAUGAACCGUUAUAACCGGCGAUUUCCGAAUGGGGAAACCCAGUGUGAUUCGUCACACUAUCAUUAACUGAAUCCAUAGGUUAAUGAGGCGAACCGGGGGAACUGAAACAUCUAAGUACCCCGAGGAAAAGAAAUCAACAGAGAUUCCCCCAGUAGCGGCGAGCGAACGGGGAGGAGCCCAGAGCCUGAAUCAGU